UACGUAGGGGGCCAGCGUUGUCCGGAAUUAUUGGGCGUAAAGGGCUCGUAGGCGGUUUGUUGCGUCGGCCGUGAAAACCUGCAGCUUAACUGUGGGCUUGCGGUCGAUACGGGCAGACUUGAGUUCGGUAGGGGAGACUGGAAUUCCUGGUGUAGCGGUGAAAUGCGCAGAUAUCGGGAGGAACACCGGUGGCGAAGGCGGUUCUCUGGG
rnacentral:rRNA from 1 species